rnacentral:lncRNA from 14 species
CGUUUCAUUCUGUAACUUCUCAGACUUACCCGUUUCAUUCUGUAACUUCUCAGACUUACCCGUUUCAUUCUGUAACUUCUCAGGACUUGCUCAGUGCUGCGGAGGCAAGAACAGCUCUAGAAAGGGAAGCUAUGCUCUACCAAGAACGGCUGCUUGCGUCUCAGCGAGCCUGGGAUGCUUCGAAGCAGGAGUUGAACCAGCUGAGGAAAAGCUGCCAGCAGCUGGAUGUGAGCCUGAAGGCCAGCAGGGAGGCCGCCACAGCCUCACAAAGCCAGAACGCCUGCUUCAGGGAAAAACUCGCAGCUCUUCUUUGCAGCAGAUUCGACAUAGCUGAGUCCACUGAGGACGCCAUAUUGGAGAAGAUUCGAGUGCUAGGCAUUGAGGAAGAGAACCAGAAAAGGAUGGCCUCCCAGCUUGAAGCCCAGAUUUCCGAGCUUGUUGGGAAGUUGGGAAAUGAAUCUGAGUCUCACCAGAAAGCCCUACAGAGGGCCCAUGAGGCAGAAAAGAAGCUGGAGGCUCUUCAGGGUCAGCUGAGUCACCUGGAGGGAGAACUGCUUUCUGGAGACGUCGUGAGAGACAACUUGAAUCUAGAGAAGCAAAAAUACUUGAAAUUUCUGGACCAGCUGUCAGAGAAAAUGAAAUUGGGCCACAUAGCUGCUGACCUUGGCUUUGACAUGCGUCUGGACGUAGUUCUAGCUCGCAUAGAGCAGCUAGUCCACCUUGAGAGCAAUGCUGUCAUAGAAAACAAGACCAUGGCUCACAACUUACAGAGAAAGCUAAAGACUCAGAAAGAAAGACUGGAGAGCAAAGAAGUGCAUAUGAACCUCCUUCGGCAGAAAAUUACCCAGCUGCAGCAGGAGAAAGAGGCGCGCUCGGCCUUGGCCAUGGAGAGGGAUGAGGCCCAUCUUUCUGUGCGGAAGCUGGAGAAGAAAGUGGAGAGGAUGCAGAAGGAGUUGAGCUCGUGUCAGGAGUACAACACUGAGCUCAAAGCCAAACUGGCGGACACCAGUGAACUCAAGGCAAGUGGAUGGCUCCUUCCUUCUGCUCCUCUCUGCCAAGGUGCCUCCAAGUGUACACAAAGGAAUGGUAGUGUGUGCAUGCCGGUAACACUGGGAGGAGCAGGCGGAUCAGGAGUUCAAGGUCACUCUUGGUUGAAUGGAUAGUUCAAGGCCAGCCUGGUUUGCAUGAAAUCCUUGCCUCAAAGAAAAGAGGGGAAAAAGGUGGUGCUGGCGAGAUGGCUCAGUGUGUAAAGUCUCAUUCCAUAAAUGGUCUGACAGCUGUCUGGGCCUUUUUCUUCCCCCUGUAUGAGAU